GGGGCCGCCCUCGGCGCGCGGGCGGCAAACGCGGGCGCCCGGCUCGCACGCCAGCCGCCUGCCGCCGGGAAACUCCCCGGCGCUGCUUUGCUGUCGUGCUGUGGAGAAGGGAGACUUCUAUGAGUCGGGACAGCUCAGACUUCUGGUAACCCCUGCCAUGCAGAAAGUAACCUAGUGCCAAGAAAUGGAAAAGUCUUCUGAGAAGGUGACAGAACUGCCACAAAGUUCAUGCACUCAAGUCUCUAGGUCCUAAGGAGUGUGCUGGGCUGUGGAGAGUGUCUUAGCAGAAAGAAAGGUACUGGAAGUGUAUUUCUGGAUGCCUAGGAGCCGAGGAAGUAAUCAGAAAGAAGAAAGAUGCCUUCCCGUGUCCAGGAAAUACAGAUGGCAGAUGCUCGGGGAGGAGAGGGCAGGGCUGCAGGGGGAAAGGACCUGCAGGAAACCAUGAAAAGGCCUCAGAAGAGACGGGAGGAGCCGUAAGUGCUUGCUAAGAACAGAAAGUUCAGAGCCCAGUUCAGGACGGUCUGGUCAUGUAAGAUUUCUCUGGCCACCUGACCUUUCCUAUAUCCCCUCCGCACAGCACCAUGGGGGGCAUGAAGGGGGCUGGGUUAGGAAAGGAGGGAAGGAGGCGCUAAGAGGAAGGAGGAAGAAGAUGGCCGUGUCCCCGCUUCCACAGUAGGCGCCUUCCGUAUGGCAGGUCUCAGCUGGGGGAGAAAAAGGUAGACUGAAGUUUCAUUCAUUACCUGAGGUCGGACACACUAAUUACUGAACUGAGACUGAUUUAGUGACCAGAAGGGACCGGAGGGCUUGUCUGUCUGGGAGGGAUGAGAAGAGUUGCUGGGAUCUGCCCAGGAUUCACGCACAUGGCACGGGGCUGUCCCAUAGCACGAGCUGCGGCAGCCAGAGGAAAAGUGAAGUUGCUUUAUGGUCGCAUCCCACCAGUCCUGUUCUCUCAAUCUAACCAUUGUAUCCACAGAAAAGAAGCAGUGAAGUAACCAUUCCCAAAGACUAAUUAUAAUUCAGAUAGUAAACAAAGAAAAUGGAAAUGAUUUGAUUAAUUGAGCAUUUUCCCGAAGGGAAAGUUUUUACAAAUACACAUGGGAAAGAACAGGCUUUACCUUCUUUGCUACUUCUGCUAGCAGAAGCGUCUUCCCAGUGCACGGUCCGCCAUAUAUAAUCAGAGGAUUGAUGUGCCCAGUUUUGCUUGGAAGAAUGUAGUUAUGCACUAUGUUUAGAGAUUCACAUUUGUACUCAUAGAAGGAGGCGUAUGUUUUACAUAAUGACGAAUGUUGAAGGAUUUCAUCGUAGAGUGUGUCCGUUUCAGUGUCAAAAUUCUGUUGCACCGUUGCCUGAAUUAUAU